GUCUACAGCCAUGCCAUCCUGAACAAGCCUGAUGUCUUUUCUUGGAAGCUAAGCAGGGUCGGGCCUUGUUAGUACUUAGAUGGGAGACCACCUAGGAAGACCAGGUGCUAUAGGCA
rnacentral:rRNA from 1 species